CCAGCCGACCCACACAAGACACAUUUGAGCUCAAUUCUCCCUCUCCUCUGCUCAACCUUUCCCUCAGAUAUGCUCAGCACAGAGCGGAUUCAACACACUACAUCAGGAACUAAACACGGACCGCGAAAAGAGCACAUCACAGCGAUGGCCUCUCCUGUGCAGCUGUUCAUGAGCUUGCCUCAUCUGGACUAGCACGGACACGCACACACGCACACACCACUAAAAGCAAAAACACAUCGCCUAGCCAUGUACAGCGUGGAAGACCUUCUCAUCUCUCAUGGAUACAAAGUCCCUCAAAGGAACAGCAACAAUGUCCCUGUCUCACAUUCGUCUUCCCCCCACCCUGCAACCUAUGAGAAAUGUCUGCCGAAGCGAAGCGACAGCCGGUGUGAAAUCGCUGAGAAGCGGAAAGGACACAGCGGCGUGAAUGGCUAUGAGGGGGACCAUGUUUACAGCAGUGGAGGCAUCAGACAAGCUCCUGCCAGGGGAUUCCCCAGUGACGCCGAAAACAGGGUCAGGAAGCAGAGGACACAAAAUGUGGACAACGGUAACCUAGGAGAUGGACGUUUGCCAGAAGACAGCCUGACCAUGGACAGUGGAUGCAUAUGACCCCAGUUGUGUGGAGAGAGUCUGAUCUUGGACACUGUCAAAGCAAACUCUGGG
rnacentral:lncRNA from 1 species